ACUCCUACGGGAGGCAGCAGUGGGGAAUAUUGCACAAUGGGCGAAAGCCUGAUGCAGCCAUGCCGCGUGUGUGAUGAAGGCCUUAGGGGUUGUAAAACACUUUUCAUCGGUGAAGAUAAUGACGGUAGCCGAAGAAGAAGCCCCGGCUAACUCCGUGCCAGCAGCCGCGGUAAUACGGAGGGGCAAGCGUUGUUCGGAAUUACUGGGCGUAAA
rnacentral:rRNA from 1 species